UACGUAGGGGCCGAGCGUUGUCCGGAUUCAUUGGGCGUAAAGAGCGUGUAGGCGGCCGCUUAAGUCCUGCGUGAAAUCUCGGAGCUCAACUCCGAGCGGUCGUGGGAAACUGGGCGGCUAGAGUGCGGGAGAGGAGAGUGGAAUUCCUGGUGUAGCGGUGGAAUGCGCAGAUAUCUGCAGGAACACCCGUGGCGAAAGCGGCGCGCUGGACCACUACUGACGCUGAGGAACGAAAGCUAGGGGAGCAAACAGG
rnacentral:rRNA from 1 species